rnacentral:rRNA from 1 species
UCGAGUCGGCCUGCGCGGAAGAUGUAACGGGGCUAAACCAUGCACCGAAGCUGCGGCAGCGACACUGUGUGUUGUUGGGUAGGGGAGCGUUCUGUAAGCCUGUGAAGGUGUGCUGUGAGGCAUGCUGGAGGUAUCAGAAGUGCGAAUGCUGACAUAAGUAACGAUAAAGCGGGUGAAAAGCCCGCUCGCCGGAAGACCAAGGGUUCCUGUCCAA